rnacentral:sRNA from 2 species
GUCGCUGCAACCACAGCGGCCGGGUUUAGCAGCCCGGAUGACAGAGGCGGACAGCCGCCACCAGGCGGCGUUUUU